rnacentral:rRNA from 1 species
UCCGGUUGAUCCUGCCAGAGGCCGCUGCUAUCCGGCUGGGACUAAGCCAUGCUAGUCUAGGGGCUUGUACCCCUUCGGGGGUGCAAGCACCGGCGGACGGCUCAGUAACACGUGGACAACCUGCCCUCGGGUGGGGGAUAACCCCGGGAAACUGGGGCUAAUCCCCCAUAGGUGAUGGGUGCUGGAAUGCCCCAUCUCCGAAAGCGCUCAGCGCCCGAGGAUGGGUCUGCGGCGGAUUAGGUAGUUGGUGGGGUAACGGCCCACCAAGCCUAAGAUCCGUACGGGCUGUGGGAGCAGGAGCCCGGAGAUGGACCCUGAGACAAGGGUCCAGGCCCUACGGGGCGCAGCAGGCGCGAAACCUCCGCAAUGCGGGAAACCGCGACGGGGUUAGCCGGAGUGCCCGUGCAUUGCACGGGCUGUCGGGGUGCCUAAACAGCACCCCAUAGCAAGGGCCGGGCACGGCCGGUGGCAGCCGCCGCGGUAAGACCGGCGGCCCGAGUGGCGGCCACUCUUAUUGGGCCUAAAGCGUCCGUAGCCGGCCCAGUAAGUCCCCCGGGAAAUCUGGUCGCUU